GAAGUCAGGAAGCAGGGAAAAGUCUCUGAGAAGGGAAAGACUAGUACAGUUCACGAAAGAUGAGCCGAAUUUAUCACGACACGUCUUUACAGAACAAACCAGUACACAAUGAGACAUUUGACAGCGGGUGGUGUCCGUCUAUGUACGAAAGCGGUCAGGGGGUUCUUCUCGAAGGAAAGCUGCUGGAUGUCUCCAGACAUGCGAUCAGUGACGACAAAAAUCCCAAGGUCCGUUUCUCUGUACUCUACAUCAAACCCAGCCGCAUCCAUCAGAGGAAGUUCGAUGCCAGCGGGAAAGAGAUUGAGCCAAACUUCAGUGACACCAAAAAGGUCAACACUGGCUUCCUCAUGUCCUCCUACAAGGUGGAAGCUAAAGGGGAGUCAGACCGUCUGUCUGAGGAGCAGCUGUCAGCGAUGGUGAACAAAGCCGAGCUGGUGAAGGUAACUGACAAGCACCGACCGAGCGGGACCUGGGCCUUCUGGUACCCAGAGUCAGAGAUGGACAAAACAGAGCUGGAAACAGGGCAGGACGUACGACUGAAGACCAGAGGAAACAGUCCUUUCAUAUUCUCCUUAGCCAAAGUGGACGGCGGCACGGUGACCAAGUGUAACUUCGCUGGAGAUGAAAAGGCCGGAGCGUCGUGGACAGACAAGAUCAUGGCCAACAAAGGGGGCGCUGUCAGCACUCAGAGUCCCGGAGGAGAAGGAGAGGGAGCAGAGGAGGAUGAAUGGGAUGACUGAGGAAACCGUCUCUCCCGGCACCCUGAAGUGUUGGCCCAGUUCCAGUCUGCAGGAUCGCUUGCGGCUACAAACCACUCACCUAUAGCCAAGAACAUAUUCUCCAGCUACGGUCCCCUAUCAUCAGCGUGAAAGCAGCAGGCAUGAAAGCAGCGGGCAUUCCUCUAUCAGAGAUCCAACCAAGACAAAGGGAGAUGUGGAGAUGUACGCACUAGGCUGAGGAAACGUCCCUUUGGACCCCCUUGUCCCUCCAUCAUACUGGCAGACGUAUGUUCUUUUAAUAACAAAAUGGAUUUACUGCAUGCCAGGUGCCUGGUUUGGACUGAAACCUGGCUCGACCGGGCCGUCUCAGACUCUGAAGUCAGUCUUGAUCAUUUCAGCAUCAUUCAGGCGGACAGGACCACUCAUUUGGGCAAAGAAAGGGGUGGUGGGGUCUGCAUCUACGUCAACAACAGAUGAAUAACAACAUCGAAAUCCACAGUCUGUACACCCGAUGACCAGUACCCAAACUGAAGCAUACAACUCCAGAGCUCUCUGGCAUUCACGGACUGGGACGUCUUUCAAGGUGAUCUGGAUGAGGGAGCUUGCGUCAUCACUGGCUCCAUCAAACUCUGCAUCUCCAUUUUCCUCCACUCCCUCCUCCAGCAUCUGGAAUCACCACAAUCCACUUUGUGACUUCAGUACAGUUCAAUGCCACAGGAUGAUUAAGAAACUUCACCACCUCAACAUCCCUCCACUCCAGCUGUAGACCACAAGCUGUUAGAACAGGCACCGUCUCAUCAUCUUCUAUCAUCACCAACACCGGAGCCCAUCAGGUCUCUGAUCUCAGUCCCUCUACGCCAAUGACUGGAGCAGCCUCUCAGCCCGCACCACAUACUCCAAAAGCUCAAUACUCUGCCAAUCAAAAGUCCAUUUCUCACGUCACACAAUGGUGCAGGGACAACUGCCUACAGCUGAACGUGGACAAAACAAAGGAACUGGCCAUUAGCACAUCAAACACAUCUCACACUGGACUGAACCCCACGUCCAUCUGUAGCAGACAGUAGAACAGGUCAACAACGAUAAAUAUCUUGGACUCACUUUAGACAAUACACUGUUUUGAUCAACGCAUCACUUCCAUCCACAACAGUCCCAGCAAAGAGUCCAUGUUCUGUGUUGAGCUGGCUGUGAAAACAAAUCUUCCUCGGUGGCAACAAAGUCUAAAUCUGAACCCUAAAUGAUCGAGAAUGUAUUGCAGUAUUUGUGUGUUAGUGUUAUCUAAGUGCACCUGAUUAACUGUUAAUUGUAAAUGAGUACAAAGCACAAACAGUGGGGACUAAGAGUGCUAAUUAUGAGCACUGAUUAAAUAAGAAAACCUUUGUACUUGUACUUGGAUCUGUAUAAGUCACAGCUUGUUUACUCAAAUGACUCGACCACAGGUCACUUCUGUAUCAAUAGGCCUCUGUAAAACACAUUCCCCAGGCAAGACGAGGCUCUCAGAUCUCUGUGAUGAGGCACCGAGCCGCAGUGCAUCCAUAAGGAAAUCACCAACAAUGGUCUUGUCUUUUCAGUUGGCCGCUCAUGGCUUCAAAGCAGGUUAUGAGACAGAAAACAGAAAAACAUGAGUGAGCCAGUACUGUGGCCAAGGUUCGACGAACGCUUCAGUUUGUACAGUGUGGGGUUGAUACUGAGGUGGUAGAGGUUCAACAUACAGUCACAGCACUCUAUGAACCCAGCUUUGUCAGCAUAUUUACAAUAAUCAUUGCAUAUUUGUCAAGUACCUUCUAUGCCAUGAGCGCUAAUGGUACAAAACAGAGUAAACCUCAGCCGACUCUAGCAUUGGUAGACUAAAGCUGUCCUGGACUUGUCUCUGGAUUACACACUUUAAUUGUUGGGAUUUAAAGCUGCAUUCUUUAUUUAUUUUUAUGCCCAACUGGAAACAGUGGGACAAGCUGAAAACACAAAAUCUGACAUAUCACAGAUGUAGAAAUGGCAGGAAAUGUGAUAUAUUGUUAAUAUAAAAAAUAUUAAUGUGCAACUUAAAGAUUUAUAGUUGUCAUCUCAGUCUGGCAUCAAAGGCAAAAAAAGCAUAUUUCCAAAAUAUAUAGAACUGCUAGUUUAAAACUGCACUAGUCAAUGUCAUUAUAAUAAUAUAUAAUGUUAAUACAAUGGAUCAAAUGACUGACCUGCCCAGUAGUAUUUCUCUGAACAUCUCCUCAUCCCUGCCAGGCUUUUUGCCUUUUUAAGCAUAUUGUUUGUAAUUGGACCACAAACUGUACCCACUGUUCACCACCUGCCCAGCACCAAAAGUUAGUGACUAGCAUAUUAGAGCAUCUAGCAGCUAAAGAGCUGGUGGGGACCAAAAACAGAGCUAAAAGGAUAGUGAAUGUAGGACUUACUUUGAUCAGGUGGACACAAACAUGACACCAAAUUGAAUGUUAAUGUUCAGUGUAGGCUGGAUAUGUAAACAGGAAACAGAUUGCUGACGUGUUCGGCAUAACAGUGUCACAGAGUCUAUUGACAAAUGAGUGUGACUUUCAGCUAGUUGAAGAGUUCUGCCUUUAGGUGCCGGAAAAAAGACUGUCAGAGCUUUAAAGAGCCGUACAACUUGUGAGGGAUUUCAUUUCUGUUAGCUUAGAGUUCUCACAACCUAACCGCUGUGUUUGGCAUGGCUGCUCCACCCUGAUAAACAUACAGUACUGUACGUUAUGGGGCAAACCACCUUCUUGUAAAUCUGUUGGAGUAAAAACGGCUA